CUUCUCAUGCGUAGAAUUACUUUCCUUAUGGCUUGGCUCUUGAUAUCGAGAAAUGCUGCUGAAGACAGCUACACAUCAAUUUAAUUUAUUCAGCUCCCUCUAAUUUAGUUCUCUUCCUUACUCCUUCGUAAUAAUAGUGCACCUUCUAGCCAUUUACAAGCAGUAGUUUCUUUACUUUAUUUGACUGACUUAUAAAAGUUUCGCAUCAAUUUUUCCCCAAAAAACUUAAUAAUUAAUGAUAUGUGGUCUCCAUCUACAAGGUUCCAAGUCAUUCACAGCGUCUCUUCUCAUUAAUUAAACCCUUCAUAUACGACCAUAUACAUUAUUAUACAUCACCAUUAAUAGAAACACUUUAUCUCAAAAUCACUAUGAAUCAAAACUUUUACGAAUGUCCUCAAAUACGGCUCGAACCAAAAAAUCAAUGCUAAGCAAAAACACCAAACAAACAAUGGCUAUUGAAAGAAUAUGGAGUUGUUUUUUGUGUGCUAUAUUUACACUCCUGCUUGGACUGAUUGAAGUGUCCUCUAGUGAUGACUUUAAUUACCAAUGUUUUGAGGGAUUUGCCAUUGCGUCUGGAUUCAUAGCACCACGGCAUGAUCUAAACGUGGAAACUGGCUCAGCUCCAAUCACCUUCUAUUGUACUCUCAAUCCCAACUUUGAGUACUAUUCAAGGGAUGGUGCCCGAUCCUCAAAUUUGACUUUUAAUUUUGAAAGGAAUCAAGACUAUCCAAUAGAGACUCGUAUACUCAACGAAACAACGAUAGCAUUUGAUUUUGUUCCUAAUCAUCCCAUGUCAGAUAUUCUACUAUGCAAGCUUGUCACGCCCAAUGCGAAUAAUAAAGGGAUCUGUUCUCGCAACGUUAAUGUCGGAUAUUUACCCAAGGAGCCUGAAGACUUUAAUUGUAUUUCAAAAAACUGGCAAUCUCUCAACUGUACAUGGAGCAUUUCCGACAAUCCCAUAGUUACCAACUACGAGCUGACAUAUUUUACAACUAGUACCAAUCAGUCUAAAUCCUGCUAUAAAAUGUCAAAAAUUCAAUCUAAGAUUUAUUGUUCUUUGGCCGUAUUGGAGUCGGCCACCUAUGAUUUGACUGGUGACGGAGAGGAAGGGAAUUUCCAGAUUGAUGAGGAUAUACAUUUAUUUUUCCGGAAUGAAAACCAUCAUACAGUUAUAUUAACACUAAAAAAUGAGCUUGGCUCCUUAAAGAAAAAAUACGAAGUGCACAUUUUUGAUUUAGUUCAACCUGAUCCCGUGAACAAAGUUCAAAUCACGUCUCAUGAUCAAUCCACUCUUAUACUCGAAUACCAAAUCCCAUUGGAACUAAGGUAUUUCUCACCUGGUCUAUAUCAAUGGAUUCAAUACAAGUCUGAGUAUGAAAGCAGUUGGAUAAAUUUAGAUGUAGGCAAAGAACCCAUGAAUAACUUCACUUUCAAGUACUUCCUCACAGACUUGAAGGCCUACACCAAUUACACCGUUCGAAUACGGCUUCUUUCGGGAAAGCGUAAUUUUAGUCAUGAGGAUCCUCUUUGGAGUGAGGAGAGAUUGGGCAAUGCUCGUACACUUCCGUCCGUUCCUGUUAAAUCUCCAAAUACAGUUAUUGGAAGCUUUGAAAUAAUUAGUGGAUUCGAUAGUCGGGAUAUUUAUGUAUAUUGGCAGCAAGUGGAAAAAGAAGAGGAAUUAGGUCCAAACUUUGGUUAUCGCGUCACGGAAGUUUUUGAGGGAGACAAAGUUGUGCCCAUUAGUCCCAAAUGGGUGACUUCUGCCUAUGCAUACUUUCCAAGGAUGUCUUUAAAUAGUUAUACAUUUUAUAUAACGUCAGAAAACUUUGUUGGUCAGGCUCCAUCCACAUCUAAAGUAUUUGUAGCCGACUAUGACAAAUUGAAACAACUCCAACCAAGAUCCUUUACAAAAAUUGCUUAUGAUGACGAUAAGUUUGAAGUUUCUUGGCUUAAACCAAUCCAUUAUGAGAUGGUUGAUAACUAUACAGUUUUUUGGUGUCAGUCGGAACGUGAUAGACCGUAUCAAUGCAAAGGAUAUUUGGACUGGGUUUUUGUGGAUCGGGAUGUCCGCUCCACAAACAUAACCGUUGAUCCUAACUUCUUGUACCAAUUUGCUGUAUCUGCAAACUCAAAAGAGUACUCCUCUGGAAUGGUUUGGGCAACUUGUACUAUCAUUGCGAAUAAAGUGAAUGGAAAGUUAAAAAAUGUGUUUGUUGAUCUGGUGCAAACAACCAGGCUCAAGGUUCGUUGGCGCUUGGAUUGCUCUGAUCGUGUUGGCAUUGUUAGUGGCUAUAAGAUAAGUUAUUGUGCCAUUAAUUCCCCUAACCCAGAUGCCAAAUGUGACAAUAAUUCACUCAAAACAGCCAUGGCUGAUCCGGACAAGUCAGAGUUUAUAGUCAAUGAUCUGGAUCCAUAUGUAUAUUAUAAAGUUGGGGUUUCCGUUGUCACUCGUGGCGGAGAAGGCGAAGUAUCGGAUUAUGUUGUAAAUCGAACAUCUCCAGCACGUCCCGGAAGUCCUCCUAGAAAUUUUCAAAUUACAGUUAAACCUCCUAGAAAAGUGUUCCUAUCCUGGGAUCCUCCUCUAAAGCCCAAUGGACCGAUUUCCUUUUAUCAAAUAGAAGGAUCAUACAUCAAUUAUGCCGGAAGCUUUAUCCGAACCUUUUUUCAAUCCAAGACUCUUACCUCAGAAGUGCUUGACUCCAAGUUUCUAGUUAGUAAUACCAAAUACCACAUUGCAAUAAGAGCUUGCACAUCUAUACCACAAUUUGAUGCUCCCUCCUGUGGACUAGUUUGGAAUAAUCAGAGUUUUGUCACGCCCUCUGGAGAAUCUGGAAAGAUGAAGGAUCCAAUCGUUUACUUUGAGAACUCCACGUUGCUACAAGUAUCCUGGGACAUGGACAGUUUUCAUAAAGGAGGAGAAAUAAGUCAUUAUGAGGUCCGAUUAACCAAGGGAGAAAAUCUCGUAGCUCCAAUAUUCCCAUCCACUAAAGAACAGUCCGUCAUGAGUGUAUCCCUCAAUGACUUAGAUGAUCCUGAUGAUUGGAUCAUUUCUGAUUGUGGCUCAUCCUCUACAAAAGCUGAACCAUAUAAUGUGACUGUUAGAGCUGUAACAUUUGGCUCUGGAUCCAAAAAGGAGUUCUGGGGUCCUUGGAGUAAUCCUACUUCCACACUUGGCUAUUGUUCUCGUUAUAUCCCAAUUGGGUUCUACAUGGGUAUAACGAGUGCAUGUGUACUGGUUGGGAUUUUUGGGAUUUUGUAUGGGGUUCGAUUUUAUAUAUUGAGCAAGGACAAACGGAUUCAGUUUGAUGAGGUGGAAAGGAAACUGAGUGCUGGGUUUAUAUCAAAGAAUAUGGUUGAUAAGUUCAACACGGAUGACACAGUCUACGGUACAAAAAUACAUCAAAAGUUUGAUCGCUCCAACUCAAUGACGACACUUCUUAACAAAGAUCCUAAGGUGAUUGUUGAAUCGAGUAACUCAUGUUCUUCCAUUACGAGUGGACGAACCUCUAGUCGCAUCGAUGAUGAUACAUUUAAGACACUUCAAAGUGAUUAUGAGUCAGAGCAAACAGAAGAGUCGAGUAGCUUAAAUAGUGAUAAAGGCCCUCCUCCAACGACACUCUCAUCAGGAUAUGUUUCAUGCUCCAGUCCUUCAGUGAUGAAACCUCCGUCGUCGUCGGAAGAAAUACAUAAAGAUAUCACGAUGAAUCCCAUCACAUCCACUGGCUAUAUAUAAACAAAUUUUUAAAGAUACACGCCUAUUUUUCACUGCAUGAAACUAGAUGAAAAGAGGCAUAAUUUAAAAUGUAAUAAGAGAACUCCUUCCAUAAAGUUGAUGCAAGAAUAUACAUAACUUUUUAAAAAAUAUGUGUCAUUUGACGAAGUCGUAAGAAAAGAAGCCAUUCCAUCCUUGUCAUCCAAUGGCUACGUUGCUUUAGGAGAUGUUAAAUUAAAUACGGGGGACUUUCAUUCAAACGUUGACGGGGGCGGUAAUGCUAAGGAUAUAAUUUCCUCAACGCCAGCUUGUCUCAAAAAUAACUCAUAUACUAGAGUAUCUAUGCUCA
rnacentral:misc_RNA from 1 species